rnacentral:misc_RNA from 1 species
GAAAUGCGAUAAGUAAUGUGAAUUGCAGAAUUCAGUGAAUCAUCGAAUCUUUGAACGCACAUUGCGCCCGUCAGCAUUCUGGCGGGCAUGCCUGUUCGAGCGUCAUUUCAACCCUCAGGACCCCCCUUUCGCGGGGAGGGACCUGGCGUUGGGGAUCGGCCCGCCCCCCGCGGCGGCGCCGUCCCCGAAAUCUAGUGGCGGUCUCGCUGCAGCCUCCCCUGCGUAGUAGUUACAACCUCGCAUCGGAGCGCGGCGCGGCCACGCCGUAAAACCCCCGACUUUCUGAACGUUGACCUCGGAUCAGGUAGGAAUACCCGCUGAACUUAAGA